AUGAAAUAUGAAGUUUUAUUAAAAGAAAAAGGGGUAAAAAGAACAAAGUUUUGUCCAUCUUUGUUCAUCAUAGCUGAAAGUUAGAGAAGAGAAAGGAGAGGAGAAAGCUCUUGAGUAUUCGGUCAUUAGGAGGAGGAAAAUUGAAGGAAAUCCCCAACCAUAGUGGGCUUGGAGCUGUGAGGGAAUUCGGAGUGACCACCCGUUCUGAAAGUUUGAUUUUCUUCUGGUGAACUGGACAUCCUUUUAAUUACGUUUGAGGUUUUGGGCUUUUAAAUUUAAUAAGGCCACUUAUUUAUUUUUGAUGGUUUUAAUAUGUAUUAGUAAGAUAGGUAUUACUUAUUUUAACUGUUGAAACUGGAUAGCUUUAGGGCGCGUUUUCAAAAACAACAGUUGAUUUCAAAAUAACACGACAACAAGCAAAGCUUCCGCAAUGAAAGUAUUUUCCAAAAUUAAUCACUUUUCCUAAAAAUGACUUAAUCGAAUCGGUUUCCUAGAAAUAUCCAUCACGUUAAGGUGUAGCAAUGGCGGUAUGCAUGUCUAGGAUUGGAUCCGAAGGGAGCUUGGUACUUAAGCAGUCCGAUGGACUCACCACCUCUUUUCUGGUUUCCUACUUGGUGCAUAGCUUCCAUUCACUUUAACCCUUAAUGAAUUAACCUUUUGAACAUCAAGUACGAUUUUCUGGACUUAGAAUGGAAAUAUUUUUUUUACGUUUUUGAUGUGGUAUGCCGGAUCCGACCAUAACUUCUGGGCCGGGUUUGGGGUGCUACAUUUAGUGGUAUCAGAGCCUAGGUUGCAACAACUCGGCUGUGGAAUGGGUUUACAAAAUUUAGAUCUUCGAAAACAAAAAUUUUAUAAAGAUUGCGAAAAAUGCGAUUUUCAAAAUUUAGAUCUUUAGAAGGUGGCAUUCGAAUCUCGGCUCAAGCACGUAAGUAUUAGUCCGAACUCUUACGAAUAUUUUUCCGACUUAUCUGCAUCAUUGAAAUCCUCGCUAGGAUACUCUAGAUAGGAUGAUCUGAAACCAUAGGAAAAUCGAUAAAGAUCGAAAGCGUAGCUAGACUUGAUUCUGCGAAAACAAACUCUAACUCUUAUCGAUUCAUAAAACAUCCGUAAUAAACACCGGAAUAUUAAUUGAUGCAUAAAAAUUCGUAAUCAAGAUAAUACGAUAUGAGUACAAGAGGCCGUGGAUGGGCCGAGGAAGUGCUCGGCGAGAUCUUCGUCUUGAGACAUAUGUCGGCGGUGGAUGCACCAAGUACCACCGACAAUAGCGGUAGAAGUCUCAUGACCAUGAGGCAGGGAAUGAUGCCCGUCACGAGCAAUGCUUCGUGUUCUGGAAAGGGUUGCCUGAGCAAGUUCGGGCAACGAAAUUCAGGGAUCUAUUUCUAAAUGACUUCGGGACUAACGGAACGGAGAUCUUUAAGGGAGUGUCUGGUAUAGCCCCGAAUGUGGCGGAAUAUUGAUUGGAGGCCACAGAACGGAUUAUGGACGACUUGGACUGCUCUGAGGAGAUUGUGAGUGGGGUAUCUGUACUAAAUCCCUUAGGUCACUCGGUUAGGGUAGACAAACUGUAUAGGAAUGUACCCUUAGAAACCCAAGGUAAGAUUUUCCCUGGAGAUCUGAUGGAGUUACCAUUCGGAGAGUUUGAUCUCAUUUUGGGAAUGGACUGGCUUGUUAAGCAUAAAGUGACUCGGAUUGUCUUUGUUAAGCGAAUGGUGUUAAGGACCACAAAGGAUGAGGAGGUUAUGGUAAUAGGUGAGCGAAGGGAUUAUUUGUCCAAUAUGGUGUCGGCAUUAGGAGCCGAAAAGUGGAUUCGAAAAAGUUGUGAGGCCUAAUUGUUAUUUGUAAGUCAGUCGGAAGAGGAGGGACUGACAGUGGAUAAGGUUAGGACCGUAAAGGAGUUCCAAGAUGUUUUUCUAGAGGAGCUUCGAGAUUGCCUCCGAAUCGAGAAGUUGAGUUUGGAAUAGACUUGUUGCGGAAUGGCGCUGUGUCUAUCGCACCGUAUAGGAUGGCAAGAAGGAAUUAGUAGAGUUAAAUGCUCAAAUUCAAGAGUUGUUGGAUAGGGGCUUUAUUUGGCCAAGCGUGUCUCCAUGGGGAGCACCGGUGCUAUUCGUGAAAAAGAAGGAUGGUACGAUGCGGAUGUGCAUUGAUUAUCGCCCAUUGAACAAAGCGGCGAUUAAGAAUAAGUAUCCACCGCCAAAGAUUGACGAUCUAUUCGACUAGCUUAGAGGAGCUUCUGUAUUUUCCAAGAUCGACCUUCGAUCUGGAUAUCAUCAGUUAAGGGUCAAGGAGGCAGAUAUCCAAAAGACGACAUUCAAGACUCGGUAUGGUCAUUACGAGUUUCUGGUUAUGCCAUUUGGACUAACGAACGCUCUUGCAGCGUUUAUAGAUCUGAUGAAUCGUGUGUUCCAACCAUUUUGGAUCAGUUCGUAGUCGUCUUUAUUGACGAUAUCCUGGUAUAUUCUAAAAUUGAAACGAAACAUGAUGAGCAUCUCCGUAUAGUGCUGUAAGUAUUAAGGGAGAAUGAACUCUUUGCGAAGUUCAGCAAGUGUGAAUUUUGGUUGAGGGAGGUAACCUUCUUAGGACAUGUGGUCUCUGCUGAGGGGAUUAAGGUGGACCCUCGGAAAAUUGAAGCGAUUUUGGAGUGGAAGCCGCCUAGGUCAGUGUCAGAAAUAUGGAGUUUUCUAGGACUGGCAUGAUACUACAGAAGGUUUGUGGAAGGUUUUUCUGUGAUGGCAGCACCUCUGACAAAACACAUAAGGAAAGGAGUACCGUUUGUAUGGACUAAGAAAUAGCAGGAAGCUUUUGAGAAGUUGAAGAAAGUUCUGACUGAAGCACUUGUGUUAAUUCAGACGGAGUCUGGGAAUGAUUUUACUGUGUACAGUGACGCAUCACACGUGGGUUUGGACUGCGUGUUAAUGCAAGAGGGUAAGGUGGUUGCAUAUGCAUCACGAUAGCUUAAGCCUCAUAAGGGAAACUAUUUGACUCAUGAUUUAGAGUUGGCAACAGUGAUAUUUGCACUUAAGAUUUGGAGACAUUACUUGUACGGAGAAAGGUGUAUUGUAUACACUGACCAUAAGAGUCUUAAGUAUUUGUUGACUUAGAAGGAGCUGAACCUUAGGCAAAGGAGAUGAAUUGAGUUGCUUAAGGAUUAUGACUGUACAAUCGAGUAUCACCCAAGCAAGGCUAAUAUGGUAGCCGAUGCUCUAAGUCGUAGAGCUGUAUCUGAUCUGAGAGUAAUGUUUGCUCGUCUGAGUUUGUAUGAUGAUGGAAGUCUGUUGGCUGAGUUGCAAGUGAGGCCAACCUGGGUGGAUCAGAUUAAGGAAAAACAGUUGAACGAUGAGUCUUUGGUCGCUCGUUUUCAACAAGUUAAGGAAGGGGGAACUUUUGAGUUUGGGAGCCAGAAGAGACGAUGCAACAGCAAUACCCUCAUCUGUUUGGAUUAGGUAAAUUUCGAGGACGAAAUUUCUUUAAGGAGGGUAGAGUUGUAACGCCCCAAUUUUCGGGAAUCCUGUGAAUGUUGGCAUAGGUUUAAUUAUGUUAGUGGGCUCUAGAAAGCCCAAACUUAAGAUAGAACCCGACAAUUUUAGUUAAUUUUUGUUCCAUAACAAAAAGGGGGUGAAAUUAUGAAAUAGGACCUAUGUGAAAAUGUUUGAAAAUGCUAUAGGUUAAAUUGAAGUGACCAAAUAAAUAGGAGUGCAAAAUAGGAGGAUUUGCAUGACAAACCUCCCAUUUUACAUGAAGUGGCCAGCCAUCAUGUUGUUGUAGACAAAAUGUACACUUGAUAUCCAUAAUUUAUGAGACAAAUUGAUACAAAUUGAUAAUAGUUUAGGUAAAUGUUCCAUGAUAAUAGGUUAGGUAAAUGUUCCAUGAUAAUGGGUUAGGUAAAUGUUUCAUGAUAAGAAUUUCAUGUCUUUUGUAUUAAAGAAUUAAAUGGAUGAAAUAUGAAGUUUUAUUAAAAGAAAAAGGGGUAAAAAGAACAAAGUUUUGUCCAUCUUUGUUCAUCAUAGCUGAAAGUUAGAGAAGAGAAAGGAGAGGAGAAAGCUCUUGAGUAUUCGGUCAUUAGGAGGAGGAAAAUUGAAGGAAAUCCCCAACCAUAGUGGGCUUGGAGCUGUGAGGGAAUUCGGAGUGACCACCCGUUCUGAAAGUUUGAUUUUCUUCUGGUGAACUGGACAUCCUUUUAAUUACGUUUGAGGUUUUGGGCUUUUAAAUUUAAUAAGGCCGCUUAUUUAUUUUUGAUGGUUUUAAUAUGUAUUAGUAAGAUAGGUAUUACUUAUUUUAACUGUUGAAACUGGAUAGCUUUAGGGCGCGUUUUCAAAAACAACAGUUGAUUUCAAAAUAACACGACAACAAGCAAAGCUUCCGCAAUGAAAGUAUUUUCCAAAAUUAAUCACUUUUCCUAAAAA